rnacentral:rRNA from 1 species
UACACUCCUACGGGAGGCAGCAGUGGGGAAUUUUACGCAAUGGGGGAAACCCUGACGUAGCGACACCGCGUGAGCGAAGAAGCCCUUUGGGGUGUAAAGCUCUGUCAGCUGGAACGAAAACAAUGACGGUACCAGCAGAGGAAGCAUCGGCUAACUACGUGCCAGCAGCCGCGGUAAGACGUAGGAUGCGAGCGUUGUCCGGAUUUAUUGGGCGUAAAGAGUUCGUAGGUGGUUUGUUAAGUUUGGUGUUAAAGAUCGGGGCUCAACCCUGGGACUGCACUGAAUACUGGCAGACUCGAGUGUGGUAGAGGCUAGUGGAAUUCCCAGUGUAGCGGUGAAAUGCGUAGAUAUUGGGAAGAACACCGGUGGCGUAGGCGACUAGCUGGGCCAUAACUGACGCUGAGGAACGAAAGCCAGGGGAGCGAAUGGGAUUAGAAACCCCUGUAGUCCCAUGAU